AGUCGAACGUGAAAGCACUUCGGUGUGAGUAGAGUGGCGGACGGGUGAGUAACGCGUGGGAAUCUGCCCAGUAGUGGGGGACAACUACCGGAAACGGUAGCUAAUACCGCAUACGCCCUAUGGGGGAAAGGCUUCGGCCGCUAUUGGAUGAGCCCGCGUCAGAUUAGCUAGUUGGUAGGGUAAAGGCCUACCAAGGCAACGAUCUGUAGCUGGUCUGAGAGGACGAACAGCCACACUGGGACUGAGACACGGCCCAGACUCCUACGGGAGGCAGCAGUGGGGAAUAUUGGACAAUGGGCGAAAGCCUGAUCCAGCAAUGCCGCGUGUGUGAAGAAGGCCUGCGGGUUGUAAAGCACUUUCAGUUGGGAAGAUGAUGACGUUACCAACAGAAGAAGCACCGGCUAAAUCCGUGCCAGCAGCCGCGGUAAUACGGAUGAUGCGAGCGUUAAUCGGAAUUACUGGGCGUAAAGCGCGCGUAGGCGGCUAAGUCAGUCAGAAGUGAAAGCCCCGGGCUCAACCUGGGAAUUGCUUUUGAUACUGCUUGGCUAGAGUUUGGUAGAGGAUAGUGGAAUUCCAGGUGUAGCGGUGAAAUGCGUAGAUAUCUGGAGGAACAUCAGUGGCGAAGGCGACUGUCUGGACCAAAACUGACGCUGAGGUGCGAAAGCGUGGGUAGCAAACAGGAUUAGAUACCCUGGUAGUCCACGCCGUAAACGAUGUCAACUAGCCGUCGGGUCUAUUUACAGACUUGGUGGCGUAGCUAACGCGAUAAGUUGACCGCCUGGGGAGUACGGCCGCAAGGUUAAAACUCAAAGGAAUUGACGGGGGCCCGCACAAGCGGUGGA
rnacentral:rRNA from 1 species